UACAGAGGGGGCAAGCGUUGUUCGGAAUUACUGGGCGUAAAGGCGCGUAGCGGCCGCCUAAGUCAGACGUGAAAUCCCUCGGCUCAACCGGGGAACUGCGUCUGAUACUGGGUGGCUUGAAUUCGGGAGAGGGAUGCGGAAUUCCAGGUGUAGCGGUGAAAUGCGUAGAUAUCUGGAGGAACACCGGUGGCGAAGGCGGCACUCCGUCGGAGCCGAGG
rnacentral:rRNA from 1 species